AGUGCUGCGGUGGAGGUGGAUCCCUCGUUUAUCUUGCUGGUGACAGGAGGAAAAAUUAUCCAGAAAUCUUCCUCUUUAGGGACAGCGAUUCUGGCUUCCAGGCCCAGAAGAAAAUGCAGUGGAAGAGAUGAGUUACUCUUCUGUGGAGUGACUUCUUUCUCAAUGCUGAUGCAUGAAUCCUGAUGCAACCUCAGGACAUGAAUUAUCAUCAUUGUUAUAUGGGUCUCCAAAAUGCAGUCCUGCUCUAGAUGGUUGUCCUGCUAAUAACCAGGAAAAUGCCAGAAUGAGAAAACUGGGAGGUGGCUGAACCACGUGCACAGGAUAAUGGAUAAAAAGCAAUACAGACUGUUUAAAAAACAAAAAGAAGAAAGAGAAAC